GGGCCUGUAGCUCAGCUGGAAGAGCAUCGGACUUUUAAUCCGCUGGUCGUGGGUUCGAGCCCCACCGGGCCCA
rnacentral:tRNA from 2 species